GAGCAAAUAGCUUAAUUGGUAAAGUGUUGGAGCGUACGCAUAAGAAUCUACAACGGUUGCAGGUUCAAGUCCUGUUUUGCUCA
rnacentral:tRNA from 1 species